rnacentral:rRNA from 1 species
AACGAACGCUGGCGGCAUGCCUAACACAUGCAAGUCGAACGAGAUCUUCGGGUCUAGUGGCGCACGGGUGCGUAACGCGUGGGAAUCUGCCCUCUGGUUCGGAAUAACUCAGGGAAACUUGAGCUAAUACCGGAUAAUGACUUCGGUCCAAAGAUUUAUCGCCUGAGGAUGAGCCCGCGUCGGAUUAGCUAGUUGGUGAGGUAAAGGCUGACCAAGGCGACGAUCCGUAGCUGGUCUGAGAGGAUGAUCAGCCACACUGGGACUGAGACACGGCCCAGACUCCUACGGGAGGCAGCAGUGGGGAAUAUUGGACAAUGGGCGAAAGCCUGAUCCAGCAAUGCCGCGUGGGUGAUGAAGGCCUUAGGGUUGUAAAGCUCUUUUACCCGGGAUGAUAAUGACAGUACCGGGAGAAUAAGCCCCGGCUAACUCCGUGCCAGCAGCCGCCGUAA